CUACAGAGGGUGCGAGCGUUAAUCGGAAUUACUGGGCGUAAAGCGCGCGUAGGCGGCUUAUUAAGUCAGAUGUGAAAUCCCCGGGCUCAACCUGGGAACUGCAUCUGAUACUGGUAAGCUAGAGUUUUGGAGAGGGAAGUAGAAUUUCAGGUGUAGCGGUGAAGUGCAUAGAGAUCUGAAGGAAUACCAGUGGCGAAGGCGACUUCCUGGCCAAAAACUGACGCUGAGGUGCGAAAGCGUGGGUAGCAAACGGGAUUAGAAACCCCAGUAGUCC
rnacentral:rRNA from 1 species